rnacentral:rRNA from 1 species
GACGAACGCUGGCGGCGUGCCUAAUACAUGCAAGUAGAACGCACAGUUUAUACCGUAGCUUGCUACACCAUAGACUGUGAGUUGCGAACGGGUGAGUAACGCGUAGGUAACCUGCCUGGUAGCGGGGGAUAACUAUUGGAAACGCUAGCUAAUACCGCAUAAUAUUAAUUAUUGCAUGAUAAUUAAUUGAAAGUUGCAAUUGCACCACUACUAGUUGGACCUGCGUUGUAUUAGCUAGUAGGUGAGGUAACGGCUCACCUAGGCGAGGAUACAUAGCCGACCUGAGAGGGUGAUCGGCCACACUGGGAGUGGGACACGGCCCAGACUCCUACGGGAGGCAGCAGUAGGGAAACUUCGGCAAUGGACGAAAGACUGACCGAGCAACGCCGCGGGAGGGAAGAAGGUUUUCGGAUCGUAAAGCUCUGUUGUAAGAGAAGAACGGGUGUGAGAGUGGAAAGUUCACACUGUGACGGUAUCUUACCAGAAAGGGACGGCUAACUACGUG